GAGGGAACUUCCUUCCACUUCUUUUUUCGGUUAAACAUGACAUUUACGGGACAGGACGACAACUUAUUGCGACCAAGUUCCAGUUCUUGGAGAGAGGAUUAAAUCCCGCGAUGAGACUUACAAUAAACCGGCAGCAGCGAGUACCAUUAUUGUAGCGGGACAUUUUCCAGCCAGAGGAGCCGCUUCAGUCCCGAUCGAACGGACAAAAUUAAAGGCAGUGGUAUUCCAGUGAGUUGAAGGACUGGGAAAGUAAACGGAAGAAGCUCCAUAUAAAGAGUGUUUGGGUCUCAACGAUGCUGACUCGGACCUCUACGUCUUGGAGCACCUAUAGGACUUGCUGAACCUAUAGGAAGACGAGAACCAGGAGUUGAGCCACCUGCCACCAUCAGGCUAUCACCACCUUACACUGGGCCACCUCCACUCAAAACAACAUCAUCAGCUCAAUCUUCCUGCUAACCCUCACCAAACCCUGCCCAGCAUCCCAUUGUGCCAACUGCAGCAUCGCAACAUGAGCAGUUGUUGCCAUUAAAGCCCCCAGGAGAGUGUAGUGCGAACAGCCACACAGGGAGUAUUGACCGUGGGCGGAGCUUGUCUUUUCAUGAGGUGCGCGGCCAGCAUGAUGCAGAGAUGAGGGCCGCAGUCGAGGAGUCGUCCAACAGCAGCAACAGUGUAGGGG